UAGUUCUCUCUCAUGUUUUUUAUUUUUCUGUAUAAUAUGGUUCCUAUCAUUAAUUGCUCACAGAUUUGCAUUAUUGCUUUGUUUUAGAUUAUUAUAUUUUGGCUUUGAGGUGUCAUCAAAUCUGAUUGCUUCUAAAGGUUUGGAAUAUCUACUGUAAUUCUCCAUAACAUGGGUUGGUUGGUGCAUUUUCUAUGCAGUUGUGCAAGAUUGACUCAGAGGGGAAGGCUAGAAAAGUAGUUGGCUGUUCUUGUGUCGUUGUGAAGGAUUUUGGUGAGGAUCAUGAAGCUCUUCAUAUAAUUCGGGAGCAUGUCAAGUCUCACUGAGUAGCUAGCUCUUCAUAUGAUUUGGUGGAGUCUCCCCCCUAGGGGUUUUGUCGAGUGUUUACUAGUUAUUACAACUUCCAUGUUUAUCACUGUUUGCUUUGAACACAGUAUUUAAUGCAUGCUACUGCUUUUUUUCGUUUUA